CCGGCGACCGGCGCACGGGUGAGUAACACGUAUGCAACCUGGCCGUGACAGAUGGAUAACCGGGAGAAAUCCCGCCUAAUACAACAUGAUGCCGGGAGGGGACAUCCCCUGCCGGCCAAAGGGGGCGACCCCGGUCACGGAUGGGCAUGCGGCGCAUUAGGUAGUUGGUGGGGCAACGGCCCACCAAGCCGACGAUGCGUAGGGGUUCUGAGAGGAAGGUCCCCCACAUUGGAACUGAGACACGGUCCAAACUCCUACGGGAGGCAGCAG
rnacentral:rRNA from 1 species